UCAAAAAAAAAAAAAAAAAAAAACACAGCUAAACCUAAAUCCAUCCUUAUUUCCGUCUCUCUUCCAAAAGUGUUUUUACAAAAACCUAAACCUAAGUCUCCUUUCGUCUGCCGCUCUCCCUCUUUCGGUUCUCCUUCUUCAGUUUUUGAUGAUACAGAUGAUAAUUAUCAGUUUUUUCGUUUUGUAUGCUGCAGUGCAUGUGAUAUUAUGAUUAUAAAGGAGGCGUAAAGAAACCAAAUGGUUAACUGGGUGAGCCUGAGAUUUUCUCAGCCUCCACCAGUGCUACACAUUUUACGGACCAAGGAUUACCAGCAAUUGGAUUCUCUCGAGCAACAGAGGUGUUAUCAGAAAGACAUGUGGAUUCUUUGAGCAACGAGUUUGUGCAAUUUUUCCAACAACUAAUAGUGGAGGAGUAUCAAGUCGGUCUGCAGGGUGUGGCAAUUGAAGCUGGAGAUCAUGUUUGGUCUCUAGAUUAGAUUAGGCUGACUGGAAUUGUGCAGGAUGCCACACUAACUGCAGGUGUUUAUCCUUUGUUCCAUUAAUUAUUGUUGAUUUAUAUGAAGAGUUCCCUAACAUUAAGAAUCAAAUUCACAAUAGUGGAUAUUGGAUUGUGAUGUAUUUAUAGUACUAAGAGCAUGAUAGAGGAAGGAGGAUUCGAUGUGAUAAAAUUAAAUUCUGGAUAUGCCUCUUUGUUAAUCCAUAUGGAAAGGAAAUGACUGACUUGAAAGCAUGAGAAGACCGACGUUAACACCUUUUCGACGUGUGGGGGGUAACCUUGAGAAAGAAGGAUAAAUGUGUGUAUCGAAAGAGUGGAAACCAGGUCAUCAGACUUGGUGAUAGAAAAGUUUGUUAUAUGACAACAAGGGUCACAACUUUAAUUAUUCAUCAUUAUUGUGGUUUACAGUGAAUCCAUAACUAAGUUGUGCUUGGUUUAAUCUGUUUUUGUAGAAAAUGAAUUGGUCAACAGUGGUUUGAAUAAGUAGAAUGAACUUAAUAUCAUCUAAUUCAGCAUUUUAGCUCCAGCCUUAACGAUACCAGGUACACCAGAUAUUUGAAUCCCUUUAACACCCAUAGCUAUUAUUAUAAUUAUUAGAUAGUAGUGGAAGAAGAGUUAAUAAACUAGCCAAACUUAGAAAUAUUCAGAUCAAAAGUUUAAGCUUAAGAGAGCUGUUAAUGUUUUAUAACAAUAACUCAGUGUUAAGGAUUAUGUGGCAAUAGGUGCCAGUAAUAUAUCAUAAGGAUAGAAACUACUUUUCAUUAGACGAUUUAAACUAUUGUUUAGUUGUCCAUAAUAAUGAGUUGCCUUGAAUUUUCAUCAUUCAUUUAUACUGCAAAGAUAUUGCUUAUAUACUCUUGACUCAUAGAAGGAUUAGUUAAUCAACAAGUAAACCUGCCAGUUCUAAUUUUCUAACUUUAAGAUUAUAGCUAACUGCUAGGAAGAUUAGAAUUUUCUCAAAAGCGUGCCAACUAAUUUUGUUUUGUAGGUGUAGUUCCUGGUACUAAUUCCUCAACGUCAUAAAAAUGCUAUUUAUUGUUUCAAAGAUGCGGAGCUAGAAAAAUUAUAAAAAAGACUUUGUGCUCACAGCUUACGAGUAAGCAGUCAUUCGUUAAUGGAAAAUUUUGAAACCAAAUAAUGGAAAAUCAUGUCGUUUGAGUGAAACUCACAGAAUUUCUUCUGUGUCGUCAGCAUUGGGUUGGAAUUGAUUGGUUUUGAGAUUUAGUGGUAAUGUCAAUGGAACUUUUGAUAUAUGUUCAUUUGUGUAGCUUUACUUGCAUGAAUUGGUUGUUUCAUUUUCCAUCGGUUGCAUCUUGCUGUUAAAGCUAUCUAAAUGUGAACUACUAAAUGAUACUAUUACACUUUCAAAGUUGUGCUAUAUAUUUACUUACUAAGCUGCACUUUGUUAUGCUUUUGGUUAUGUGUCACGGUACUGGAACUGGCAGUAGAUGAACUUGGGUAUUGAAGACCGAAUGUUCUUCUAUGCGGAAAUGGAUCACAAAGUUUUGUCAUUAAGGCUGUUCAAACUUUCCGCGGCUUCUGGACUCAUGAGCGACGGGGCGAGGCGAAGCCGAGCCACACCAAAUCAAAUCGGGAAGGGGCGAGGCGAAGCCGAGCUUUACCAAAUCAAAUCGGGACUGGGCGAGGCGAAGCCGAUGCCCGGCUUUACCAAAUCAUAUCGGGACGGGGCGAGGCGAAGCCGAGCUUUACCAAAUCAAAAAUAUGGUAACGAUGCCAUUUUAUUUGUAGUUGUAGAUUGAAUUGGUGAGUUAAGUUUGCGAAGGGCACAAAAUUCUUUAUAUAAAAACAGAGUUUUUUCGAGCGGCGUGGUUAAUGGGAGCUUAUGGUUGAUUCUGGCCCCACCAUUUAUUAUUUCGGCCAAUAGA